rnacentral:rRNA from 1 species
GACGAACGCUGGCGGCGUGCUUAACACAUGCAAGUCGAACGGUGAAGGGAUCAGCUUGCUGGUUCUGGAUGAGUGGCGAACGGGUGAGUAACACGUGAGUAACCUGCCCCCUUCUUCUGGAUAACCGCAUGAAAGUGUGGCUAAUACGGGAUAUUCUGGGUCUGUCGCAUGAUGGGUCUGGGAAAGAUAUUGUUUCGGUGGGGAUGGGCUCGCGGCCUAUCAGCUUGUUGGUGGGGUGAUGGCCUACCAAGGCGGUGACGGGUAGCCGGCCUGAGAGGGUGGACGGUCACACUGGGACUGAGACACGGCCCAGACUCCUACGGGAGGCAGCAGUGGGGAAUAUUGCACAAUGGGCGCAAGCCUGAUGCAGCGACGCCGCGUGAGGGAUGGAGGCCUUCGGGUUGUAAACCUCUUUCGCCAGUGAAGCAGGCCUGCUCCUUGUGGGUGGGUUGACGGUAGCUGGAUAAGAAGCGCCGGCUAACUACGUG